AUCCUGAUACACUGGCACAGACCCCCUGAAGGACACAUAAAACUAAACAUAGAUGGCUUAUUCGAACCAAAUUCCAAAAACGGUGGAACAGGAGGAGUACUACGGAACCACCAAGGAAAUUGGGUAAAGGGUUUUUGCCUGUAAAGUUAGAGUGGAAAAUGCUCUACACGCAAAACUGUUAUCUCUUCUUCAUGGACUGACACUAGCCCAAAGAUAUAAUAUUAAGCGUAUUCUGGCGAAAAUCGACUCUCAGGAAAGGAAAGAGGAUUGAUAAGGCAGAGAAGAAAAAGUUACUUGAAUGGUUUACCCUUAUAUUUGACUUUGGUAUGGCUUAUACCUAAUGGAUGAAGAUUUUGUCAAGGUUAAGAAUGAAUGAUAUCUAUAAUCAGGUCUAAUUGUUGCAGUAUUUGAUAAGAAAGAAAAAAUUAUUGACUUUUUAUAUAUUUUAAGGUUGCCAUUGAUUUCUUAUAUGUCAUCCUGACAUCCUUUAUAUAUGGAGGGUUGCUAGGAAAUCCUUUGCACUUCUUGGAUGUACGUACUUUAUUCCGUAGUCGUUCAAUUACUAUACAAUUUCUAUAACAAAUGUUAUAAGUCAUCAGUUGUAAUUAACUUGUAAAGGUAAAACCCUCAUAUUAUUUA